rnacentral:rRNA from 1 species
AUUGAACGCUGGCGGCAGGCCUAACACAUGCAAGUCGAACGGUAGCACAGAGAGCUUGCUCUCGGGUGACGAGUGGCGGACGGGUGAGUAAUGUCUGGGAAACUGCCCGAUGGAGGGGGAUAACUACUGGAAACGGUAGCUAAUACCACAUAAUGUCGCAAGACCAAAGAGGGGGACCUUCGGGCCUCUUGCCAUCGGAUGUGCCCAGAUGGGAUUAGCUAGUUGGUGAGGUAAUGGCUCACCAAGGCGACGAUCCCUAGCUGGUCUGAGAGGAUGACCAGCCACACUGGAACUGAGACACGGUCCAGACUCCUACGGGAGGCAGCAGUGGGGAAUAUUGCACAAUGGGCGCAAGCCUGAUGCAGCCAUGCCGCGUGUAUGAAGAAGGCCUUCGGGUUGUAAAGUACUUUCAGCGGGGAGGAAGGCGAUACGGUUAAUAACCGUAUUGAUUGACGUUACCCGCAGAAGAAGCACCGGCUAACUCCGUG